rnacentral:misc_RNA from 1 species
CACCAAUGAUGUUGCGUCAAAGUGCCGCCAUCUUGCGCUAAUGUAAUUAGUUAUGUUAAUAGAUAGUCAAUGGUAACUGCGUCAUUUUGCAGAUGAGUACUGAAUUUAGUCGGAUGGAGUCGACUGUGAUCUAGUCAAGACGAUUACUGCCCGAGCGAUCAAGUCGAAACGAUUCAAGAAUUGGUGCUUGACAUGUUGAAGGAUUUAUAUGGAGAGUUGGAUGUCAAAUGCGACUACGGUUUAGAAGAUAAGUCAGCAGAUG